rnacentral:rRNA from 1 species
AUUGAACGCUAGCGGGAUGCUUUACACAUGCAAGUCGAACGGCAGCGCGGACUUCGUUCUGGCGGCGAGUGGCGAACGGGUGAGUAAUGUAUCGGAGCGUGCCCAGUAGCGGGGGAUGACUACGCGAAAGCGUAGCUAAUACCGCAUACGCCCUACGGGGGAAAGCAGGGGAUCGUAAGACCUUGCACUAUUGGAGCGGCCGAUACCGGAUUAGCUAGUUGGUGAGGUAACGGCUCACUAAGGCGACGAUCAGUAGCUGGUUUGUGUGGACGACCAGCCACACUGGAACUGAGACAAGGCCCAGACGCCUACGAGAGGCAGCAGUGGGGAACUGUGGACAAUGGGGGCAACCCUGACCCAGCAAUCCCGCGUGUGAGAUGAAGGCCUUCGGGUUGUAAAGCACUUUUGGCAGGAAAGAAACGCCGCGGGCUAAUACCCCGUGGAAGUGACGGUACCUGCAGAAUAAGCACCGGCUAACUACGUG